GAACGUGUGGCUUAGUGGUCAGAGCGCUUGGGCGGCAUCCAAGAGGCGGGGUUCAAAUCACGCUAAGUUAA
rnacentral:tRNA from 1 species